UACGUAGGGACCGAGCGUUGUCCGGAUUCAUUGGGCGUAAAGAGCUCGUAGGCGGCUGCUCAAGUCGAAUGUGAAAACUCGAGGCUCAACCUCGAGCCUGCAUUCGAUACUGGGCGGCUAGAGUCUGGUAGGGGGAUCUGGAAUUCCUGGUGUAGCGGUGGAAUGCGCAGAUAUCAGGAGGAACACCGGUGGCGAAGGCGGGUCUCUGGGCAACAACUGACGCUGAGGAGCGAAAGCGUGGGGAGCGAACAGG
rnacentral:rRNA from 1 species